GCGUUAUUGGUUUAGUGGUAAAAUUCUCCGUUGCCAUCCGUGCAACGUUCGCGGGGAGCCCUGGGUUCGAUUCCCAGAUUAACGCA
rnacentral:tRNA from 1 species